rnacentral:rRNA from 1 species
AGAGUGAACGCUGGCGGUAGGCCUAACACAUGCAAGUCGAACGGCAGCACAGUGGUAGCAAUACCAUGGGUGGCGAGUGGCGGACGGGUGAGGAAUACAUCGGAAUCUACCUUUUCGUGGGGGAUAACGUAGGGAAACUUACGCUAAUACCGCAUACGCCCUUCGGGGGAAAGCCGGGGAUCGCAAGACCUGGCGCGGAUAGAUGAGCCGAUGUCGGAUUAGCUAGUUGGUGAGGUAAUGGCUCACCAAGGCGACGAUCCGUAGCUAGGUCUGAGAGGAUGAUCAGUCACACUGGAACUGAGACACGGUCCAGACCUCCGUAGGGAGCAGCAGUGGGAAUAGUGGACAAGU